AAAUUGAAGAGUUUGAUCAUGGCUCAGAUUGAACGCUGGCGGCAGGCCUAACACAUGCAAGUCGAACGGUAACAGGAAGCAGCUUGCUGCUUUGCUGACGAGUGGCGGACGGGUGAGUAAUGUCUGGGAAACUGCCUGAUGGAGGGGGAUAACUACUGGAAACGGUGGCUAAUACCGCAUAACGUCGCAAGACCAAAGAGGGGGACCUUCGGGCCUCUUGCCAUCAGAUGUGCCCAGAUGGGAUUAGCUUGUUGGUGAGGUAACGGCUCACCAAGGCGACGAUCCCUAGCUGGUCUGAGAGGAUGACCAGCCACACUGGAACUGAGACACGGUCCAGACUCCUACGGGAGGCAGCAGUGGGGAAUAUUGCACAAUGGGCGCAAGCCUGA
rnacentral:rRNA from 2 species